rnacentral:rRNA from 1 species
UCGAGAAUAGUCUACAAUGGUCGAAAGACUGAUAGUGCGACGCCGCGUGAACGAAGAAUCCCUUCGGGGUGUAAAGUUCUUUUGUAAUCGAGCAAUGCCUUUUAUGUGAUAAGCAUGAGAGGAGAGAUAUUAGGUUAAGAAUAAGCAACGGCUAACUCCGUGCCAGCAGCCGCGGUAACACGUGGGUUGCAAGCGUUGUCCGGAAUUACUAGGCGUAAAGGGCAGGUAGGCGGAUAUAUAAGUUUUGUGUUAAAGGCAUCAGCUUAACCGGUGUAGGGCAUAGGAUACUGUAUAUCUGGAAUGCGGUUGAGGAAGACAGAAUGCCUGGUGUAGCGGUGAAAUGCGUAGAUAUUAGGAGGAACACCAGUGGCGAAGGCGGCUUUCUGGACUGACACUGACGCUGAGGCACGAAAGCGUGGGGAGCAAACA